CGCGUGCGCUGAGAUAACACAGUGAUUAUUCACUUUGCGAGCGCUCCUUUAUCUACUGGCCUGAUUUUCGUUGAGAUAAAUAUCUCUGUGAGUGAUGGCAGAUUUCGUUUGCUGUAUGUCUAUAACAGGUGCUCUGUUUUAUGUGGAUGUCCAGUGACCUGCUGAUUCCUACUCGUCUGUUGGCAGUCGGCAGGAAAUAGCUGCACGAAUCUCUAUAGCAACCUGUACUUAAAGUACAGUUACAGGAAGGCAACCGAAAUCAGAGUGACAAAGAACUGUCGGGCAAGGCAACAAAGGGUGCGCACGUGGGACGCUGCCAGCUGUUCUAUUCUGUUGGAUCUGUGUCUGACACAGGGCCUGCACAGAAUCAGAUAAGAUCCUGGAGACCGUAAGAAUGGACCGCAGAACCCCUCUGAGCCACUCUGUGGCAACAAUACACCACACUCACCACUGCCUGGGCAUCAUUUACAUGUGAAAACAACACAACGUCUUAUCUUAAGUAUACUGAAACUGAGGCAGAAGGACUCAAUUUGCGUGUGUGUGGCUUAACAGGUAGACCUGCAAUAACAGACUUUUAGUUAAUAAAGCAAAACAUUUUUAAUGUUGAAAUGAUAUAUAUAUAAGUUUUGUUUAAUAUAUAUUUUUGUAAGAAUAUAUGCAACAAAGUUAAGCUUAGAGGUCUCAUAAUUUGUCACCAUUGUAAGCUUUCAC